GAUGAAGAACGCAGCGAAAUGCGAUACUUGGUGUGAAUUGCAGAAUCCCGUGAACCAUCGAGUCUUUGAACGCAAGUUGCGCCCGAAGCCAUCAGGUUGAGGGCACGUCUGCCUGGGCGUCACAUAUCGUUGCCCAAUGCCUAUUGCAGUGCAAUAGGAAUUUCUAGGGCGAAUGAUGGCUUCCCGUGAGCGUUGUUGCCUCGCGGUUGGUUGAAAAUCGAGUCCUUGGUAGGGUGUGCCAUGGUAGAUGGUGGUCGAGUUAGAACGAUACCGAUCAUGUGCAUGCUCCCCAAAAUAUGGCCUCUAUGACCCACAAGCGUCUUUUGACGCUCAUGACGAGACCUCAGGUCAGGCGGGGCUACCCGCUGAAUUUAAGCAUAUCAAUAAGCGGAGGA
rnacentral:misc_RNA from 1 species